GUUAAGCGACUAAGCGUACACGGUGGAUGCCCUGGCAGUCAGAGGCGAUGAAGGACGUGCUAAUCUGCGAUAAGCGUCGGUAAGGUGAUAUGAACCGUUAUAACCGGCGAUUUCCGAAUGGGGAAACCCAGUGUGAUUCGUCACACUAUCAUUAACUGAAUCCAUAGGUUAAUGAGGCGAACCGGGGGAACUGAAACAUCUAAGUACCCCGAGGAAAAGAAAUCAACCGAGAUUCCCCCAGUAGCGGCGAGCGAACGGGGAGCAGCCCAGAGCCUGAAUCAGUGUGUGUGUUAGUGGAAGCGUCUGGAAAGGCGCGCGAUACAGGGUGACAGCCCCGUACACAAAAAUGCACAUGCUGUGAGCUCGAUGAGUAGGGCGGGACACGUGGUAUCCUGUCUGAAUAUGGGGGGACCAUCCUCCAAGGCUAAAUACUCCUGACUGACCGAUAGUGAACCAGUACCGUGAGGGAAAGGCGAAAAGAACCCCGGCGAGGGGAGUGAAAAAGAACCUGAAACCGUGUACGUACAAGCAGUGGGAGCACGCUUAGGCGUGUGACUGCGUACCUUUUGUAUAAUGGGUCAGCGACUUAUAUUCUGUAGCAAGGUUAACCGAAUAGGGGAGCCGAAGGGAAACCGAGUCUUAACUGGGCGUUAAGUUGCAGGGUAUAGACCCGAAACCCGGUGAUCUAGCCAUGGGCAGGUUGAAGGUUGGGUAACACUAACUGGAGGACCGAACCGACUAAUGUUGAAAAAUUAGCGGAUGACUUGUGGCUGGGGGUGAAAGGCCAAUCAAACCGGGAGAUAGCUGGUUCUCCCCGAAAGCUAUUUAGGUAGCGCCUCGUGAAUUCAUCUCCGGGGGUAGAGCACUGUUUCGGCAAGGGGGUCAUCCCGACUUACCAACCCGAUGCAAACUGCGAAUACCGGAGAAUGUUAUCACGGGAGACACACGGCGGGUGCUAACGUCCGUCGUGAAGAGGGAAACAACCCAGACCGCCAGCUAAGGUCCCAAAGUCAUGGUUAAGUGGGAAACGAUGUGGGAAGGCCCAGACAGCCAGGAUGUUGGCUUAGAAGCAGCCAUCAUUUAAAGAAAGCGUAAUAGCUCACUGGUCGAGUCGGCCUGCGCGGAAGAUGUAACGGGGCUAAACCAUGCACCGAAGCUGCGGCAGCGACGCUGAUGCGUUGUUGGGUAGGGGAGCGUUCUGUAAGCCUGCGAAGGUGUGCUGUGAGGCAUGCUGGAGGUAUCAGAAGUGCGAAUGCUGACAUAAGUAACGAUAAAGCGGGUGAAAAGCCCGCUCGCCGGAAGACCAAGGGUUCCUGUCCAACGUUAAUCGGGGCAGGGUGAGUCGACCCCUAAGGCGAGGCCGAAAGGCGUAGUCGAUGGGAAACAGGUUAAUAUUCCUGUACUUGGUGUUACUGCGAAGGGGGGACGGAGAAGGCUAUGUUGGCCGGGCGACGGUUGUCCCGGUUUAAGCGUGUAGGCUGGUUUUCCAGGCAAAUCCGGAAAAUCAAGGCUGAGGCGUGAUGACGAGGCACUACGGUGCUGAAGCAACAAAUGCCCUGCUUCCAGGAAAAGCCUCUAAGCAUCAGGUAACAUCAAAUCGUACCCCAAACCGACACAGGUGGUCAGGUAGAGAAUACCAAGGCGCUUGAGAGAACUCGGGUGAAGGAACUAGGCAAAAUGGUGCCGUAACUUCGGGAGAAGGCACGCUGAUAUGUAGGUGAAGCGACUUGCUCGUGGAGCUGAAAUCAGUCGAAGAUACCAGCUGGCUGCAACUGUUUAUUAAAAACACAGCACUGUGCAAACACGAAAGUGGACGUAUACGGUGUGACGCCUGCCCGGUGCCGGAAGGUUAAUUGAUGGGGUUAGCGCAAGCGAAGCUCUUGAUCGAAGCCCCGGUAAACGGCGGCCGUAACUAUAACGGUCCUAAGGUAGCGAAAUUCCUUGUCGGGUAAGUUCCGACCUGCACGAAUGGCGUAAUGAUGGCCAGGCUGUCUCCACCCGAGACUCAGUGAAAUUGAACUCGCUGUGAAGAUGCAGUGUACCCGCGGCAAGACGGAAAGACCCCGUGAACCUUUACUAUAGCUUGACACUGAACAUUGAGCCUUGAUGUGUAGGAUAGGUGGGAGGCUUUGAAGUGUGGACGCCAGUCUGCAUGGAGCCGACCUUGAAAUACCACCCUUUAAUGUUUGAUGUUCUAACGUUGACCCGUGAUCCGGGUUGCGGACAGUGUCUGGUGGGUAGUUUGACUGGGGCGGUCUCCUCCUAAAGAGUAACGGAGGAGCACGAAGGUUGGCUAAUCCUGGUCGGACAUCAGGAGGUUAGUGCAAUGGCAUAAGCCAGCUUGACUGCGAGCGUGACGGCGCGAGCAGGUGCGAAAGCAGGUCAUAGUGAUCCGGUGGUUCUGAAUGGAAGGGCCAUCGCUCAACGGAUAAAAGGUACUCCGGGGAUAACAGGCUGAUACCGCCCAAGAGUUCAUAUCGACGGCGGUGUUUGGCACCUCGAUGUCGGCUCAUCACAUCCUGGGGCUGAAGUAGGUCCCAAGGGUAUGGCUGUUCGCCAUUUAAAGUGGUACGCGAGCUGGGUUUA
rnacentral:rRNA from 1 species